rnacentral:rRNA from 1 species
UACGUAGGGUGCAAGCGUUAAUCGGAAUUACUGGGCGUAAAGCGUGCGCAGGCGGUUCUAUAAGACAGAUGUGAAAUCCCCGGGCUCAACCUGGGAACUGCAUUUGUGACUGUAGAGCUCGAGUGCGGCAGAGGGGGAUGGAAUUCCGCGUGUAGCAGUGAAAUGCGUAGAUAUGCGGAGGAACACCGAUGGCGAAGGCAAUCCCCUGGGCCUGCACUGACGCUCAUGCACGAAAGCGUGGGGAGCAAACAGG